GCGUCUCUCCGCGAACGGUUGAAACAUGAAGUGAAUUUAUACGAGAAAAUCCGAUCAUAGGUAUAAGCCUAGAUUGGUGGUAACAGGAUUUCAACAAAAGAACGUAAUCGAUGACAUAUACUCUCCAGUAGCGAGUAAUCAAACUUUAAAAAUUUUGUUAGCAUAUUGUUGUCAAAAUGGACUGACUAAUCGUUGAACAAAUGGAUGUAGAAAGUGCAUUUUUAAAUGGUGAAGUAAGCUCCGGAGAUAUAUGUAAAUCAACCAAAUGGAUACGUAAACAGGACGAAUAGAGUAUACCAGCUAUACAUUUUUCCCACCUGUCUGGCAAUUGGUGAAUGCCACGCCAAAAAAACUGCCGCUCUUUUGAGGCAAACCAGUCAUCGAGCCAUUUUCGUACAUUUUCGUAAGAAGAGAAGUGCUGGUCAGAAAGUGCGUGUCCCAUCGAUGCAAAUAAAUAGUAAUCGGACGGAGCCAAGUCUGGAGAAUACGACUACCGACUAUGCGAUAACACAGGCAAAUUCUAAGCGCCUUAUCAUGAGUGACCACUGAGGUAGUGUCCGGUUUCUCUGCCCGUUCCCAUGGACAUAUGACAAGUACAACCAAGGUCUUUUCCCACUCCCACGAAUAAAAGAAUAUAAAUACUACCCCCAAAAUCGUCCAAGUCAGUCUUAAUCAGUCCGAGCCAGCACGAAUUACUGUACAAAUUAAGUAAAAAUAAAAGAACGUGACAUUUUAAUUUUUACGUGUCACAUUCAUGGACAGAGAGAGAAUGUUGUUUGUUUAUUAAUAUACGUGGGUGAUUUGUUGAUCUGGAGUAAGAAUAAAAGGAAAAUGCAGAGUGUAAAGAAAUUAUUGACCGACAAAUUUGAAAUGGAAAAUUUUGAUGAGAUAAACGAAUAUCUCGGAAUCAAUAUAGAAUAAGAUUAUAUCAAAAAUGAAGUGAAACUGAGUUAAAUGAAAUACAUUGAGUCACUAGUAAGUAAAUACAAAAUAAAUUACAAGACAGCAAACUGUACGGUACACCUAUGGAAACUAACUUAAAAAUUGAAAAGGCUGAG
rnacentral:misc_RNA from 1 species